ACUUGGUAAUUCUUUACCUACAGGGAAAAAAAACACACAAACACGAUAAUGUGCAGUUCCAAUAUGCAGUUCAUUCUCAUCUCCCCACAAAUUUCUCCAGAAAGCUAAACUAACAGUUUCAUUCCAAUCUCCCCCAAUCCAAAAUUUUAAGAGUUCCCCUCAAUCCAAAAUCGCUGAGUUCCCUUCAAAUUUUCCCGAGUUCAUUUGUGAUUUUGCUAGCAUCAUCUCCGACAAACCUUUACUGGCGACGAAAUUCAGUUGCGGUCUUACGGAGGAUUUGGAUUGCUUCUUCUUCUUUUUAAUUGCUCUGAAAUUCGGUGUUUUAAGGGGAUGCAGUCCAAGAGGAUUUUGAAGGAGCUGAGAAAGAUCCUCCUUCUUCUCGGAAUGCAGAUACUCUUUACUAUGAUCGCCUGGAAGUUAAGACUUGCCUAGGACAGGAAAGAAAGAAUUCUUCGGUUGAUAACAGUUCGUGUUCAGAUCAAACAGUUGAUAUAAAUUCUAUUAAGACAUAGGCAUAUCAAUCUCAGCAGCAAAAUACAGGAAGCUGGAGAAUGAUGAAAACAAAGUCAAGACUACUAAAGAGGAAACCUAUGUCACAGUCCUAGACAACGUUAUGUGAUGCAGUCCAAGAGGGUUUUGAAGGAGUUCAAGGAGAAAGAUCCUCCUAGUUCUCGGAUUGAUGGUUCUAUCCUCUAUCAAUUGAAGGUCCAUCUAUAUCGCUCUGAUUUCCCCUGUUAGGGCCGAUUGUAUCUGCCAUUUGAUACCAAUGGAGUUAGAACUUAGUGGGCGCCCACAAAUAUGAUAGAAUUAUCUCCUGUCAUAUGCUUGAAGCUAUAGGGCAUGAAUUCAUGGAGGAGGUUUUCCGUUGUUGUGAUUCUAUCUUGGCAGUUAAUGUGUUCUUGUCCUUGAGUUUAUAUCUAUAUGUGAUGAGCGAUAUGAUGAGUACAGGAGAAGCUCAGAUUUCAUUAAGGAAUACUUUUUCCCAAGAGGAUGCCUACCCUGCUUGAGCCGAGUAACACCAGCAAUGACUGCUGCGUCCAGACUUUGUGUUGAACACAUAGAAAAUAUUGGGAUACACUACUAUAAAACACUCAGAUGUUGGCGAAAAAAUUUCUUGGAGCAUCAGAGCCUGAUAUUGACUCUUUGAAGGCUGCAAUCAGCUCUGUUGUUGACGUGAUGCAGGCGAUGGUUUCCUCUGUCUGUUCUGUGCUAUCAAAGGACAAUCUUUCUGGUGGGAACCUGGCUGCUGUUAAGAGUUUGCAACAAAUGUUUCCAGAACCAGUACUUUCAUAAUUGCAAUGUUCCGAAUUAUGACCAAGAACAAACUGAUGAAGUCAGAGCUCAAUAGAUGCGUCAUGUUCUUCUCGUGUGCAUUUUGUGGUGGAUCAAUUAUGUUUUUCGAUUGGAAAUUGUCUACAAUUUUCUAAUUUUAGUGUUUUGAUUUGAAAUUGAAAGAAGUACUAUAUGACAUAGACUUCUUUCUUUUUUCUAUUUUUUUCUUUCUAGUGUGUUGCCAACAUUGCAUAUGACUUUAAAUUAUGAGAAGUCGAGACGUUUAUUUGAAAUGAUAGAAAUAAAAUUGGAUGGUAUAUUCAAUUAUGUUUUUUUAUUUUAUUUUUUAUUUGUAGGGAGAAACAUAUGUACAUUCAUCUUUGAUAUUAC